ACGUACACUCCUACGGGAGGCAGCAGUGGGGAAUAUUGGACAAUGGGCGCAAGCCUGAUCCAGCCAUGCCGCGUGAGUGAUGAAGGCCCUAGGGUUGUAAAGCUCUUUCACCGGUGAAGAUAAUGACGGUAACCGGAGAAGAAGCCCCGGCUAACUUCGUGCCAGCAGCCGCGGUAAUACGAAGGGGGCUAGCGUUGUUCGGAUUUACUGGGCGUAAAGCGCACGUAGGCGGACUAUUAAGUCAGGGGUGAAAUCCCGGGGCUCAACCCCGGAACUGCCUUUGAUACUGGUAGUCUUGAGUUCGAGAGAGGUGAGUGGAAUUCCGAGUGUAGAGGUGAAAUUCGUAGAUAUUCGGAGGAACACCAGUGGCGAAGGCGGCUCACUGGCUCGAUACUGACGCUGAGGUGCGAAAGCGUUGGGAGCAAACAGGAUGAGAUACCCGUGUAGUCCCAUGAU
rnacentral:rRNA from 1 species